AAGUCGUAACAAGGUCUCCGUUGAUGAACCAGCGGAGGGAUCAUUACCGAGUUAUCUAAACUCCCAACCCUAUGUGAACCUUACCGUCGUUGCCUCGGCGGGCCGCGCUUACCCGGUAGCUACCCUGUAGCUACCCGGUAGGUGCGCUACAGGCCCGCCGGUGGACUACUAAACUCUGUUUUAAUACUGUAUCUCUGAAUGCUUCAACUUAAUAAGUUAAAA
rnacentral:misc_RNA from 1 species